UGGAUCUGGGGCCAUGCUUGAACUUGGACCUUUCUCUGUCCAUAGUGACAACAAGACACUGUACAAGAGAAGGCAUGCAUGGAACAGAGGUAAAAUCCGAUUUAAACUUCACUUGAUUAAUAGUUACUUCCUCCACUCCAAAUUAUAGUUCAGUUUAGCUUUGUUCUAACUUUGAUCAAGUUUUUAGAAAAAACUUAGUAAAAUCUAAAAGUUCAAAUAAAUACACUACCAAGACAUAUUUCAUGGGAAUUUAAAAACUAAUCAAUACUAUAGAUGUCGAAUUGUCGAUACAUUUUUUCUAUAAACAUGGUCGAAGUUAAAGCUUAGGACAAAACUAGAGUAAACUAGUUUCAAACGAAGGGAGUAAAUAAAGUUAGUUGGAAUGUUGGAUUAACACCCAUACUGAUAUUCCAUUGUUCAUUCACGAAUGCAGUGGCCAACAUGUUGUUCAUUGAGAUCCCAGCUGGUGUUGGAUACUCAUAUUCAAACACUACAUCUGAUUAUUAUAACACUGGUGACCAAAGAACAACAGAUGAUGCAUAUACGUUUCUUGUUACUUGGCUAGAGAAAUUUCCUGAGUAUCGGAACCGUGAUUUCUUCAUAACUGGUGAGAGCUACGCAGGUCACUAUAUACCAGAGCUUGCUAAUCUGAUUGUUUCUAAGAACAGAGCCACCAAUGUCACUAAUAUCAAACUUAAAGGUGUUGCGGUAAGUUUUCAGUCUUAACUGAUUUGAAACUUAUAAUUCGGUAAAUUUCUCAUCAAUGGUAACACUGUAAACUUCAUCAGAUUGGAAAUGCGGACUUGGAUGAUAAUUUGACUCUAAGAGCAUCAUAUGACUACUAUUGGAUGCAUGCUAUGAUUUCUGGAAAAGCUUAUACAGCCAUCAAGGAUAAGUGCAGCUUUAAUGGGACAUACACUAAAGAUUGCCUAAAUGCCAUGAACUUAGCUACCCGUGAAAAAGGAAAUGUUGAUGAUUAUGACAUCUAUGCACCAAUAUGCCAUGAUGCCUCAAAUGCUUCUAAAUCAAGUGACUCGGUAUACAACACCAGACAUAAAUUUCACUUCACAGAUUAAGUGUUUUAACUUGCAUUUCUAUAUGAAUUUUUGGUAUACUCAAACUUUUGUUUACUAUUUCAGUUACUGUUUGGUGAUCCAUGCACAAACCACUAUGUCUCCUCUUACCUAAACAAUCCUGAGGUCCAAAGGGCACUCCAUGCAAACACAACAGGGUUAGGCUAUCCAUGGAUGGACUGUAGGUAUGUGGAUUGAAUAUCUGAAUAUCAAAUUUUCCCUCCAAUUUAUGUCCACCGUUAGACCAUACCUCUUGUGUGACCCAAUUAGCAAUCUAUUGUUGGUUUCCUAAAGCAAUCUGAAAAGGUAAGUGUUUUAUGUACAAAGAAUUUCUUAUAUACAGAAUAUUUAUAUAUCUUUCAACACUCACUUCUCAAUAGCAUUAAUUCUAAAAAGGUAUCAACAGGCUCUUCCAGUCAACCAUCAAAGAGUAUGUGAACCACAGUUCCUGAUAAUUAUUCCAUUAACACAAAAUGUGUAUGCCAAGAGGUAUUAGUAAGUCAACACUAAAAGGGCAACAGUGCCAAAUGAUUCUCAAGCUUAUAUUCUUUGUUUUUUCAAACACGUUGGAGAGCUGUGUAUCUUUGUAGUUUGUAAACUUUGUAUUAAAAAGAAAAGGGCGCAAGAACCCUUAAAGCACAAACCCUUGUAUUCUCAAGCCUAUAUUCUGACCAACCAGCAGUCAAUUAUUUGAAACAAUAGGACAUUUAACCCAAAGGCGUCCCUAGGGGCAUGGCUCACAUGCACUGCAUAUCUACACAAUUGAGUAUGCACUGAAAUAGUGAAAUUCAUGUAUGUCCAUUCACCCUUGAUGGUUUCUAUCAAGUGCGAAUAUUUUUUUCUUGAAAACGCAUGACAGCUGCAUUUCAUUAGAAUAAGAAGAAACAGUACAGUCUCAAAUAGACCUAUGACCUUAACUCUAGGACCAGCUCAUGGUGGCCAAAACUUAGAAUACAAAAAAGGAUCCAUAAAAACACUACCUACCAACACUAGCUGACAGGAACAAAAGACAUUUGGCACCAGCCAUCAGCCACAAAUCCCUCUCUUCACAAAAACGAGAGAAAAAAACAACAGACAUAGAAGGUGAAAGGCCCUCAAAAACACAUCCAUUGCGCAUUUUCUUGAUAGUCCAAGAACCUAGUAUGACUAGAGGAUUGAAACCCCUUCUAGUCAACCCCUCUGUUCUUCAACUUGUGCCCACCAACAUAAGAAGGAGCUGUCUUCAGGUUUAGGGGCAAUGGGGUGCAAUCUGUAGAGCCUAAAAAUCUUGAACCAAAAAACUCUUGCAAAAAUGCAAGAGGGGAGCAAAUGGUUAAUAGUUUCCUCCCCUUGACCACAUAAUUUAGGGUCUAGGGAUGACCCUAGUGCAUGUCGCAUACUCAUUCAUGUAUAAAACUAAUUGUUGAGAACUUGUUCAGCCUCAAGUAAACAUCUUACUAGAAUAGCAAUUGGCACAGGGGAAAGUCAACAGUACAGCAUGUUUAUAAUUAAUUUCUAUGUUUCCUUCAAGCAGUCAGCGUGUAUUUGAUAAUUGGAAAGAUUCACCAGUGACAAUGCUACCAUCAAUAAAGAAACUCAUUUCAAGUGGCACAAGAAUAUGGCUGUACAGGUAAAUAUGUUCAGAUUUAUGUGUGCCAAAAUACCUAACUCGGUGGGUUACAUCAUAAGAACAUGACUUAAACUAUGUCAUUGUGUGGCAGUGGUGAUAUGGAUGCCGUGUGUUCGUUCAUUUCAACACAAUAUGUGCUGGAUAAUCUUGGGCUUCCUGUAGAAGCAUCUUGGCGUCCAUGGCGCAUCGACAAUGAGGUACAUGGCCCACUGUUCAUCAGAUGAAAGAUUGAAUAUCAGCAUUCAUGUCACCAGAAUCCUUUAGAUCAAGUUGUAUGGGUUUCCUAAAAAUAGCAAAAACUAAAGGAUGAGUCAUCAUGUUGCUUGACUGGUCUUGUGAUGAUCACUAGUCCCCAAAGCGAUUUGAUAGUCAGGUUAUUAAACUCUUACAACAUAAAAUGUUUGAAGAUGAAUUGGUUAUACACACGCAAUUAAUAUUGGUUAUAGUUGGCACACAAUUGCUGCAAAAGAGUGUGUGUGCCGAAAACAUCAUGAAUGCAUUAUUCUGUCUAGCAGUGGCUGUGGACAAAUAGCAAAAAAAAAUCCUAACUUUUCAUGAAUCAGCAGGUUGCUGGCUACGUCAUUGGGUAUAAAGGGUUGGUCUUCGCAACGGUCAGAGGAGCUGGGCACAUGGUGCCAUACUACCAGCCUCGCAGUGCAUUGGCACUGUUCUCAUCAUUCCUCGAAGGGAAGCUCCCUCCACACUGAUCCAUUAAGCUAGCAUGGUUUGUGAAUGUCAUGUACUACACUUGUAGCUCGCCUUUAGGAAGGGGUUUUCAAUGAACCAAGCAGGAGUGCUGCUGAUUAUAUUAAUAAAAAAAACCUUCAGUUCAACUUCCUUGCGCAAGCACAGACAAUUACGUAAUUCUAUCUGAUUGUUUGGCGUGCACCAAGGAGACCAACUAACGCUGGUCUGUCGCUAGCACCGAGAAAAUAAGUUAAUACCAAAUCCUGAGCAGGUUUUAAGCAUGUUGGAUUAUUUGUAUCCAAAACUGAACAAUGUUAGUACUGGCGCCAUCAUUGGGCCUGGAUUGACGACAUCCAGGUAUCGAAUCGAAGUGGAAAAAAGGAAGGACGGGAUUCAGAACUUCAGACUAGAGAAGAGAUUCCUCAAACGAAGUGAGGAAAUAGAGAAGGCGAAAGGCUGGGGAGAGAUCCCAGAGUCGGGUCGUCUCCACUGCGAGAGGGGAUGAGAAGCGAACCUCGGAGAAAGGGUCGCGGCAGCAGAACGGGCACCGUACGAACCCGCGACGGAGGAUAAGGAGUGAGGGUAUGUAUAAGGGGACGAAGAGGACGACGACGGUUCCUCCCGUCUGAAGGCCGCCCACCUUGGAGGCGCCG
rnacentral:lncRNA from 1 species